rnacentral:rRNA from 1 species
CCUACGGGAGGCAGCAGUGAGGAAUAUUGGUCAAUGGACGAGAGUCUGAACCAGCCAAGUAGCGUGAAGGAUGACUGCCCUAUGGGUUGUAAACUUCUUUUAUAUGGGAAUAAAACGUUCCACGUGUGGGAUUUUGUAUGUACCAUAUGAAUAAGGAUCGGCUAACUCCGUGCCAGCAGCCGCGGUAAUACGGAGGAUCCGAGCGUUAUCUGGAUUUAUUGGGUUUAAAGGGAGCGUAGGUGGAUUGUUAAGUCAGUUGUGAAAGUUUGCGGCUCAACCGUAAAAUUGCAGUUGAAACUGGCAGUCUUGAGUACAGUAGAGGUGGGCGGAAUUCGUGGUGUAGCGGUGAAAUGCUUAGAUAUCACGAAGAACUCCGAUUGCGAAGGUAGUUCACUGGACUGCAACUGACACUGAGGCUCGAAAGUGUGGGUAUCAAACAGGAUUAGAUACCCGAGUAGUC